GAUGAACGCUGGCGGCGUGCCUAAUACAUGCAAGUCGAACGAAGAUCUAGCUUGCUAGAUCUUAGUGGCGAACGGGUGAGUAAUACAUAAAUAAUCUGCCCAUAUGACUGGGAUAACUAUUGGAAACGAUAGCUAAUACCGGAUAGGUUGAUUGGAGGCAUCUCUGAUUAAUUAAAGUAGGAUUUCUACACAAAUGGAUGAGUUUAUGGCGCAUUAGUUAGUUGGUGGGGUAACGGCCUACCAAGACGAUGAUGCGUAGCCGACCUGAGAGGGUGACCGGCCACACUGGGACUGAGACACGGCCCAGACUCCUACGGGAGGCAGCAGUAGGGAAUUGUCGGCAAUGGGCGCAAGCCUGACCGAGCAACGCCGCGUGAGUGAUUAAGGCCUUCGGGUUGUAAAGCUCUGUUGUAAGGGAAGAACAUUCAGGAUAGGAAAUGAUCUUGAACUGACGGUACCUUACCAGAAAGCCACGGCUAACUACGUGCCAGCCGCCGCCGUAA
rnacentral:rRNA from 1 species